rnacentral:rRNA from 1 species
GGUUAAGCGACUAAGCGUACACGGUGGAUGCCCUGGCAGUCAGAGGCGAUGAAGGACGUGCUAAUCUGCGAUAAGCGUCGGUAAGGUGAUAUGAACCGUUAUAACCGGCGAUUUCCGAAUGGGGAAACCCAGUGUGUUUCGACACACUAUCAUUAACUGAAUCCAUAGGUUAAUGAGGCGAACCGGGGGAACUGAAACAUCUAAGUACCCCGAGGAAAAGAAAUCAACCGAGAUUCCCCCAGUAGCGGCGAGCGAACGGGGAGCAGCCCAGAGCCUGAAUCAGUGUGUGUGUUAGUGGAAGCGUCUGGAAAGGCGCGCGAUACAGGGUGACAGCCCCGUACACAAAAAUGCACAUGCUGUGAGCUCGAUGAGUAGGGCGGGACACGUGGUAUCCUGUCUGAAUAUGGGGGGACCAUCCUCCAAGGCUAAAUACUCCUGACUGACCGAUAGUGAACCAGUACCGUGAGGGAAAGGCGAAAAGAACCCCGGCGAGGGGAGUGAAAAAGAACCUGAAACCGUGUACGUACAAGCAGUGGGAGCACGCUUAGGCGUGUGACUGCGUACCUUUUGUAUAAUGGGUCAGCGACUUAUAUUCUGUAGCAAGGUUAACCGAAUAGGGGAGCCGAAGGGAAACCGAGUCUUAACUGGGCGUUAAGUUGCAGGGUAUAGACCCGAAACCCGGUGAUCUAGCCAUGGGCAGGUUGAAGGUUGGGUAACACUAACUGGAGGACCGAACCGACUAAUGUUGAAAAAUUAGCGGAUGACUUGUGGCUGGGGGUGAAAGGCCAAUCAAACCGGGAGAUAGCUGGUUCUCCCCGAAAGCUAUUUAGGUAGCGCCUCGUGAAUUCAUCUCCGGGGGUAGAGCACUGUUUCGGCAAGGGGGUCAUCCCGACUUACCAACCCGAUGCAAACUGCGAAUACCGGAGAAUGUUAUCACGGGAGACACACGGCGGGUGCUAACGUCCGUCGUGAAGAGGGAAACAACCCAGACCGCCAGCUAAGGUCCCAAAGUCAUGGUUAAGUGGGAAACGAUGUGGGAAGGCCCAGACAGCCAGGAUGUUGGCUUAGAAGCAGCCAUCAUUUAAAGAAAGCGUAAUAGCUCACUGGUCGAGUCGGCCUGCGCGGAAGAUGUAACGGGGCUAAACCAUGCACCGAAGCUGCGGCAGCGACGCUGAUGCGUUGUUGGGUAGGGGAGCGUUCUGUAAGCCUGCGAAGGUGUGCUGUGAGGCAUGCUGGAGGUAUCAGAAGUGCGAAUGCUGACAUAAGUAACGAUAAAGCGGGUGAAAAGCCCGCUCGCCGGAAGACCAAGGGUUCCUGUCCAACGUUAAUCGGGGCAGGGUGAGUCGACCCCUAAGGCGAGGCCGAAAGGCGUAGUCGAUGGGAAACAGGUUAAUAUUCCUGUACUUGGUGUUACUGCGAAGGGGGGACGGAGAAGGCUAUGUUGGCCGGGCGACGGUUGUCCCGGUUUAAGCGUGUAGGCUGGUUUUCCAGGCAAAUCCGGAAAAUCAAGGCUGAGGCGUGAUGACGAGGCACUACGGUGCUGAAGCAACAAAUGCCCUGCUUCCAGGAAAAGCCUCUAAGCAUCAGGUAACAUCAAAUCGUACCCCAAACCGACACAGGUGGUCAGGUAGAGAAUACCAAGGCGCUUGAGAGAACUCGGGUGAAGGAACUAGGCAAAAUGGUGCCGUAACUUCGGGAGAAGGCACGCUGAUAUGUAGGUGAAGUCCCUCGCGGAUGGAGCUGAAAUCAGUCGAAGAUACCAGCUGGCUGCAACUGUUUAUUAAAAACACAGCACUGUGCAAACACGAAAGUGGACGUAUACGGUGUGACGCCUGCCCGGUGCCGGAAGGUUAAUUGAUGGGGUUAGCGCAAGCGAAGCUCUUGAUCGAAGCCCCGGUAAACGGCGGCCGUAACUAUAACGGUCCUAAGGUAGCGAAAUUCCUUGUCGGGUAAGUUCCGACCUGCACGAAUGGCGUAAUGAUGGCCAGGCUGUCUCCACCCGAGACUCAGUGAAAUUGAACUCGCUGUGAAGAUGCAGUGUACCCGCGGCAAGACGGAAAGACCCCGUGAACCUUUACUAUAGCUUGACACUGAACAUUGAGCCUUGAUGUGUAGGAUAGGUGGGAGGCUUUGAAGUGUGGACGCCAGUCUGCAUGGAGCCGACCUUGAAAUACCACCCUUUAAUGUUUGAUGUUCUAACGUGGACCCGUGAUCCGGGUUGCGGACAGUGUCUGGUGGGUAGUUUGACUGGGGCGGUCUCCUCCUAAAGAGUAACGGAGGAGCACGAAGGUUGGCUAAUCCUGGUCGGACAUCAGGAGGUUAGUGCAAUGGCAUAAGCCAGCUUGACUGCGAGCGUGACGGCGCGAGCAGGUGCGAAAGCAGGUCAUAGUGAUCCGGUGGUUCUGAAUGGAAGGGCCAUCGCUCAACGGAUAAAAGGUACUCCGGGGAUAACAGGCUGAUACCGCCCAAGAGUUCAUAUCGACGGCGGUGUUUGGCACCUCGAUGUCGGCUCAUCACAUCCUGGGGCUGAAGUAGGUCCCAAGGGUAUGGCUGUUCGCCAUUUAAAGUGGUACGCGAGCUGGGUUUAGAACGUCGUGAGACAGUUCGGUCCCUAUCUGCCGUGGGCGCUGGAGAACUGAGGGGGGCUGCUCCUAGUACGAGAGGACCGGAGUGGACGCAUCACUGGUGUUCGGGUUGUCAUGCCAAUGGCACUGCCCGGUAGCUAAAUGCGGAAGAGAUAAGUGCUGAAAGCAUCUAAGCACGAAACUUGCCCCGAGAUGAGUUCUCCCUGAC